UGAUGGAAUUUGUCAUUUCAUUAAUAAAUAAUGCUGAUAAAGAUGCAAACUUAGCAAUUGUGCCUAAAAAGUGACAGCUUUGACAAGGAAAUAUAUCCAUAUAUAACAGUUACUGGUACUGUCUGAAUGCAGUGAAAGGAUCCAGAUGAACAGAUGAAGAGAUUAAGUACAAUGUACAUCAAUUACUUGGAUGAAGAGAAUCUGCAACAUGGGGAAAUAAUGUUCCUGUAGAAAAGUCAAAGAAUGUAUACAUGUGAGAUUCUGAAGUAGCCGUACAUGAUGAGUAGGAAUUUGAAGUGAAUUAUGGGAAAAGUGAAAUGGUAAAAAAGAAACUGCUAGCGCUACUGUGCAGACUACCAUCAAUCAACAUGAUCAACAAAAUCAAGUAAUCCUUCUGAAGAUGGAGUACUACACAAGCACAAUUUUUUAAAGAAAGAAAAGUCAAUGGAAUGAAAGCCAAAGAAAAGGUGAAGUGAAUUGUCACUCAUUAUAUUUUAAAUUUAAUGUGGACAUGGUCAUUAUUUUAGUUAUGUCAUAACCUUCUUAUCAAUUUUAAGCAGUGCAGACAGAUGCAUUUCUUAUUGCUUUGAAUAGAAUAAAUUAUCAAAAAAGUUUGUAUAUGUUUUUUGAUAUUGAAUUAAGGACAUACGCAAUGUAAUUUGAACUUUAUUGUCUUUUUCCCUGGAGUUGAAGAGUUCCAAUACUUAAAGAAACUGUGUGCUACAUUUUAAUGUCUAUAUAUGUUGUUGUACAUUUCUUUUAAAACACAUUUGGAUAAACAAAACAUCUAGAAUAUAUGUUCAGUAAUUUUUGUAUAUUUUUCUUUGAAUUUUACAAGAAUUUUCAUUGAUAUCUUUUCAAAACCCCUGGUAAUGCAAGCUGAUUUUUUGUCUAAGAACAUCUGAUGGCACUAUAAUCUUAAAUUAAGAAUAUCUUAAAAAAUCAUCAGUAGGUAAGGUACGUUGCAUAUGUCCUUAAAAUUAAAAAAAAAAAAAAAAAAUUAUCAAUUACUGCAGUUUUGAACUUCAGUACACUAGAAAUUUUUCUGCCCUGCCAUGAAUAUGGCUGGGGCAUAUAGAGUUUGUCAUGUCCGUCUUCCGUCCUUCCAACCUUCUGUCUGUCCUUCCAUUCCGCUUUGCUUUUAGCUCAGUUCAAAACUAAGUUUCAAAGAAACUAUUCAAGAUAUUUUUAUCAAUCUUCAUAUGCUGAUACAUAUUGAUGAGAGGUAUUCAAUUUCAUCAACAUUUUUUUACCUUGACCUUUCCUUUAACUUUGACCUCACUUUUCUUAAAUUAGUGUUUAGCUCAGUUUUAAAGAAACCAUUCAAGAUAGUGUAAUGAAACUUCAUAUGCUGAUACAUACUGAAUCAACAUUUUUUUACCUUGACCUUUCCUUUGACCUUGACCGUACUUAUCUUAAAUAAGUUUUUAGCUCAGUUUUAAAGAAACCAUUCAGGAUAGCGUAAUCAAACUUCAUUUGCUGAUACAUACUGAUGAGAGCUAUUCAACUGUAUCAACAUUUUUUAAUCUUGAUCUUUCCUUUGACCUUCACCUCACUUUUCCUAAAUUAGUGUCAAACUUCAUAUGCUGAUACAGACUGAUGUAAGGCAUUUGACUGUAUCAACAUUUUUGACCUUGACAUUUCAUAAGACCUUGACUUCAUUUUUCCUGAAAUAGUGAUUAGCUCAGUGUUAAAUAAACGGUUUCCAUUCAAAAUAUUUUUAUCAAACUUAUUUUGCUUAUGCGUAUUAGUGAGAACUAUUCAACUGCAUCAAAAAAUGUAUGACCUUGAACUUUCCUGUGACCUGGACCUCACUUUUCUUAAAUUUGCAUUUUGCUUAGUUUUAAAGAAACCAUUAAAGAUAAUUUUAUGUGAGCUUAUGCACUUAACAGAAUUUGGUGAGAAUUUAUCAUCUAUAUCCAACUUUUUUGAUUUCAAUGUUAAAGAAACUAUUUUAAGAUAUUCUCAUCAAAUUUCAUACACUAAAAAUAUUUUUGUGUUGCAUUACUAAUAUGCCCACAUGGUGCAGUGGUUAAAGCUCUAGAGUUGCGGAGUAAGGAGUUGAUCCUUAUGUCACUGGUUCGAAUCCCACUGUGGGACGUGGAGACCAUAUAAACCGAGGUCCCAUGUCACAGUAGGUGCUGGCACGAAAAAGAUCCCUCACUGCUUAAUGGCCCUUAGUGCCGAGUAUAGGUCAAAAUUUGCAGCUCUCCACUGGCAAGUGGUGGCGUCUCCAUAUGAGUGAAAAAUUCUCGAGAGGGAUGUUAAACAAUAAACAAGCAAAUAAAAAUUAAUAUACCCUCAGCGGGGCAUUCAUGUCCUAUGGACAUAUUUCUAGUUUUGCCCUCUUGUACAUUUGUACAUGGAUAUACUUUUUAUUCUUGCUCUGUAAACAACAACAAAAACAUUAUACCAUAUAAUAUGCACAAAAUUAUAUGCUAGGAAUGUAUUGUGAAAGAUGCAUUUCAGCUGACAAAUGUAGCAUCUUUAAGCCAGCUUUUUAAAAUUUUUUCUGAAUGACUUUCAGGUACUUCUUUGAUAUAUUUGCAACUCAUUUAUAGGGAUGUAUUAGUAUGGUAGCCUGUCUGCCAACACGUUGUAGAUGAGAUUCUAGCACAAAUUGUGUGAAAUGGUUCUCUUAAUUGGACAUGAGAAGGUCACCAUUUUUUAUCAAGAUAAAAAUUACUUGUAUGUCUUGUAAUAACAUUAUUUAAUAUAUCCCUUUCAUAGCACACAUGUUCCUUUCAAAGAGAAGAAAACAUUUAUAAUUUUUCAAGGUCAAUAAUCUCAUGGAUGAAAUGCAAACUGUACUAUUUGAAAUAGGUGGUAUAGGUAUUUCAGAGUCUGUAUUACAUCUUGCCAGUUUAUUGUUCGAGGGAAUAUUCUCAUCAAAUAAACUAUGUAAAGAUUUGCUUUUUAAUGCAAAGUAUUUCUAUAAGUAAUAACUUCAUUUCAACUUACAAUGAACAGUUAAUCAAUGCAUCUCACUUUGUAUAUAAUGCAUUUUAGAACACACAUUUGUGGUUUAAAACAUGAUGUAAUAGU